ACACAAUUUGCCCAGCACAGAGUAAAGAUUAAGACCAUAAAAAAUAUGUAUAUAUAGCUAUAUAUAUUUUUUUUUUGGUGUAAAUAAUCAGCAAUUAUGGGAAAUUCUGAAAAGCAAACAAAUGUAACAUACAAUGAAUUAGAAAUUCAAAAUGAAGCAGAUGAUCAUCCUUCAAAGAUGACCAGGUUUUUUGUGAGAGAUGCACCAAGCUCUAGGUCUAAUCACCCGGCAGCUAUAGUACUGGGGGCCCUAAGUGCUGCAUUUCUUUUCGUUAUAAUUGGAUUGAGUGUUCACAUUUACAGAGUGAAUGACAAGCAUGACAUCUUGUCUCUCAACUCAUCAAUGAUCAGCUCUCAACUUGUUCAACUGCAGUCAGACUGCGGGAGUCUGACUGAGUCCAAGAAAACACUUCAAAAAAAGCAUGAUGAAGACGUAAAACAGAUUCAAAACCUGCAGAUAAAUUUAAACAGAGAGACAGAUUCAAAGAAGACACUAAACUCACAAAAACAAAAAUUAGAAGAAGACAAAAGAAAAUUGCAAUCUCAAAUUUCAAUAAUCAGCUCUCAACUUGUUCAACUGCAGUCAGACCACAGAAAUCUGACUGAGUCCAAAAAUGCACUUCAAGAAAAGCAUGAUGAAGAUGUGAAACAGAUCCAAAACCUGCAAAUAAAUUUAACCAGAGAGACAGAUAUGAGGAAGGAGCUAAUCGCACAAAAACAAAAAUUAGAAGUGCAAAUGCAAUCUCAAAUUUCAAUAAUUAGCUCUCAACUUGUUCAACUGCAGUCAGACCACAGAAAUCUGAUUGAGUCCAAAAAUGCACUUCAAGAAAAGCAUGAUGAAGAUGUAAAACAGAUCCAAAACCUGCAAAUAAAUUUAACCAGAGAGACAGAUAUGAGGAAGGAGCUAAUCGCACAAAAACAAAAAUUAGAAGUGCAAAUGCAAUCUCAAAUUUCAAUAAUUAGCUCUCAACUUGUUCAACUGCAGUCAGACCACAGAAAUCUGAUUGAGUCCAAAAAUGCACUUCAAGAAAAGCAUGAUGAAGAUGUAAAACAGAUCCAAAACCUGCAAAUAAAUUUAACCAGAGAGACAGAUAUGAGGAAGGAGCUAAUCGCACAAAAACAAAAAUUAGAAGAAGACAUAAGAAAAAUGCAAUCUCAAAUUUCAAUAAUUAGCUCUCAACUUGUUCAACUGCAGUCAGACCACAAAAAUCUGAUUGAGUCCAAAAAUGCACUUCAAGAAAAGCAUGAUGAAGAUGUAAAACAGAUCCAAAACCUGCAAAUAAGUUUAACCAGAGAGACAGAUAUGAGGAAGGAGCUAAUCGCACAAAAACAAAAAUUAGAAGAAGACAUAAGAAAAAUGCAAUCUCAAAUUUCAACUCCUGAAGGUAGGAGUGGCAAGUGCUUGCCCAAUUGGUUGCAGAUGAACAGCAGAUGUUUUUACUUUUCUGUGUCUUCAACAACUCCACGUCGAGACUGGAAUGGAGGCAGGGAUGACUGCAAGAAAAAAGGAGCUGACUUAGUCAUUAUAGACUCUAAGGAGAAACAGGAGUUCAUCGUAAAGAGCUUAAAAACACACUACAACCUACAAUUUAGUUAUAAUAAUGGAUUUUGGAUUGGACUGAAAGACGACCAUGCAGAAGGCACCUGGAAAUGGCUGAAUGAGACACCACUGACAAAAGGGUAUUGGAGGGCUGGGGAGCCAAAUGAUUACUUGGCUGGAGAGGAUUGUGCAGCUGUAUAUUCCACUGAAAAUCCUAUGCAGGCCUGGAAUGAUGCACCAUGUUCAUACUCACUAAAUUGGAUCUGUGAAAAGGAAGCACUUUAGAAUCCUCAGUUAAUCAUGACUAUCUUGUUUUUGUCCAUUAGUGAUAGUUAUAAUACACCAAAGAUGAUAAAACAUUUAGACUAAUUUUAAGUGAGUACAUUCUUUAAACUUAACACUUGUCUUGUACUCUAGGUUGUGUGCUUUUAGUUGUACUGUAUGCGUUACUUACUCUACUUAUAUAUUUCACUUUCUGCAUCACAUUGCAUACGGUUGUAAUAACUGUAAUGUUCUGUACCUGACCUGACUUGUUUUAAGGUGGGGAAAAAAAAAUAAAAAUGUUAAAAUAACUUUGCACGUUCUUCCCGUUCUUGGUGGAUUUCCUCCGGGUACUCUGUUUCCUCCCCCAGUCCAAAGACAUUCAGAUUAGGCUAAUUGGCGUUCCCAAAUUGCCUGUAGUGUGUGAGUGUGUGUAUGUGUGUGCAUGUGUGUGCCCUGCGAGGGAUUGGCACACUGUCCAGAGUGUACCCCACCUUGUGCUCUAAGUUUCCUGGGAUAGGCCCCAGGCCCCCCUGCAACCCUGAUCACAGAAUAAAGCAGUACUGUAUAGAUGAUGAGUGGGUGAGUGCUUUAUUGUUUGUCUAGUCAUUUGUGGUGGGAAUCUUUUUGCAUAACAUUUACAGUAUAUUUAUUAUUGUGCCUGCUAAGAGUCACUUGUGAUGGUCAUUGUGGUAAUACUGAACUAUUUUGAAUUAUGGCUUUUAUUAAUUAUUUUAUUUUAUUGUAAACACUUACUUAAUUUGAUUUAAAAGUAUCAUUAUUUUGAUAAAACAAUCUAUGACAAUCUGAACAAAAUUCUAUGCCACGUACUUCCUCAUCUAAACAAACAUGAAUUGCCUCAGUAGGUCCACCCACAAUCAACAGUAAAUGAGUUCAGUGACCUUGUCAGGGCAAACAGUUUGCCCUGCACAGAGUAAAGAGCAAAGACCACUAACACAUUGAUCACUUUGAUGAGAAUUGUGAAAAAAGUGCAAAAUAUGGUGAACUCUGAAGACCAAGGAAAAGUGACAUACAGUGAAUUAGAUCCUCAUGAGGAUUUAACUGGAGACGUUCAUCCUCUGUAUUCAAAUAUGAACAGGUUUACGCGUCUAAGAGCUGAACCAAGUUCUAGGACUUAUCGACUGGCAACUAUAGUACUGGGGGUCCUAAGUGUUGUAUUUCUUUUUAUUGUAGCAGGACUGAGUCUGCACA